rnacentral:misc_RNA from 1 species
UGCUGGAUCGAAAAUUUUACGUGCAUGUCGUGCAACGUAUCCGUGACCGAAAUAUAAUCGAACUUUGAACGUCUGGUUUGCAGAGAUUUGGGCUGUAUAAAUCUUUUCCCAACCAUUGAAGAUUUCAGACACUAUUCAAGAUUUGAAGUGACACCAGAGUUGCCACCAAAAUGAGCGAAAAAGAAGGCAAAAAAUGCCCCUUCGGUUUCGGUGAGGGCGGCAGCGGGCACGGCAGUUGCCCUUACGGGUUUGGCACUGGCGGCCACGGUCAUCACGGGCCCGGCUUUGGGCACGGUGGGCCGGGCCACUGCCCGUACCUCCAAGGCCACGGCCACGGCCAUGGCCAUUUUGGGCCUGGAUUUGGAGGCCCUCCAGGCUUUGGUCCCCAUGGCUUUGGCCACCAUGGCUUCGAUCACCAUGGCGGUAAGCCCCCGAUGCUGCAGUGCCCAUGGAUGGUGGCUCGUUUGCACGCUUGCCCCUGGGCCUGGGGCGUGGGCUCGGGCCACCACGCCUGCAAGUCGGGGAAAUCAUGCGACUUCUGUGUGACCUUGAAAGUGGCCGACUUCUGCUCCGAGGAGCUGGAGGUCAAGGUGGUGGGACAGGAGGUGAUCGUUCAUGGCAAGCAUGAGCCCCGCCCAGAUCCAGCAGAUGCCAGCACCGUCUCCAGGGAGUUCACCCGUCGCUAUGAGCUGCCAGACAACAUCGAUCUGCAGACCGUUGCCUCCUCCCUGAACGAUGACCACGAGCUGAUCAUCACGGCUACCAAGAAAGUAGCCGAGGGCGAGCCUCGGGUGGUCCCCAUCCAGGUGGGAGAGGGGUCUGGCGACCACUAGGCUGCAAUGCAUGAAUGUCGGAUGGAGGGAGGGCUUUGAAGUUACUUAUCCAUCCACCACAUCGAGGGCAAAGGGCUUGGGCUGGCUAUAAGGCCAAAAACACAACAACAAAAAAUAUUUGGGGUCCCCGCCCGCUUCGUUUUUGGAGGCUGCCUCCUUUUUUCCUUUUUUUUAAAACCAUUUUUAAAAAUUGAUAAAUUUUAAAUAGUGACAUAAUUUUGGCCUCUUUGUCUGUUGCAUCUAGCCUAUAUAAAGCUUGUAUGUCAUUUUCCAAGUGGCGGUCGUUGAAAAAAAAAGAGUUUGGCGGCCAUGUUGAAAAAUAGCCUGGUCGGGCGGCCAUUUUGGAGGGGAAUAAAAAGGGGGCCUCCUCCUUCCUUUUUUAUUCAAAAAAGGCAGGAUGCUAGACAUGUUUUUUUUUUCAUUUGGCCUAACCAACCCCUUCUGUCUGACCCAUGCUUAUUAUUUACAAAUUUGACAAAACUCUAACAUUUCUUUCUUGCCAAUAGUGUCACUGUUGCAAAUGUUGGUAUCACGGCUUAAAGGCUAGUAACGUUUGCAAUUACACGAAAAUGUACCUUAUUUUAGUGAGAAAAUCCUUGCUCAUAUUGAAGAUAGAGACUGGUACCAUUAUACCCUGUGAAAUUAUUCCGCCUGAAAUAUUCAGACGAAAAUCACUGAAAGUGGUUGAAGACAAUGUGACAGCUUUUUUUUUAAUGUGCAUUAGCAGCAGAAUCCAGUCACCUCGAACAUUUUGCAAAUGCUUUCUCUGUUAUUUCUCAAAAUGUAAAGUAUCCACUGAGCUGACUUCAGCAAAGUUGAAAAUUGAAGAUUUGAAGCAAUUUUGUCGCUUCAAACGAAAAAAAAUAUACACACACAAAAAUAUCUUAUGUACCUUUAAGGCCUUUUGGUUUUUCUUAUGUGCUGACCUGAACACUCAAGGGAGCAAAAUUUCUCCUUGAAAAAACAGUGGACUUUUAGGUCAACACCUCAACCAAGUGGCCCCACCUACCUUUGAAAAACUCUGGAUCUGAACAAAAUUAUAACACCACCUCCAACACAUUCCUCCUGGCUUGAAUUUUAAGACCUGAAAUCUGCUAGACCAAUAGGCUUCUAGAUAUGUAGACUUGAAUUAGAAUGCCAAGAUACAAGUUAUGAAUAACACAUGUAUAUUAAUUGUUCAAGGGAAUUAGGAAAUGUUGGUGUACAAGGCUUCAUGGCAAGUGGGAACAAAUUGUGUUGUAUUUCAAAAUAGAUUAAACUUGUACAUGGAUGCACCUAAAUUGUAGAUCAUAGUACUAAUAUUCUUAAGCUCUAGAAAUCUGGAAUUCUGUUUUGUAGGGAAAUCAGUUAGCCAUAGAAAGCAUUACACAGGUACUGAAAUUGAAUUUCUAUUUGCAUAAUACUGCCUAUCAUUAUAUAACUCAUAUUCUCAAUCAACUUUUUGUACUACUUGAACAUGUUUAAAUGCUUUCAUCUUGUUCAAAUUUAAUCAGAUUUAAAAUGAGCAAACUUAUAACUGCACAAACACUUUUGAAAAAAGAUUGAAUCGUUUAUUUGGUUUGUGUUAUACUUGAUUUUAUGUUGUUAUUAUUUUCUGCUUUUUGUUAAUGAUGAUAAAACAUGUCUGAAAAAUUAAGAAUUAAUGAUUAAUUGAUCAAGUAAUGAAUUACUGUGGCCGAUUUAAGUACAAGUGAAAGUGUUUUAUAUCAAAUUGUGCAUCACACAAUUUGUUUUUAUUUGGCUUUAAUUAUUUCUGUUGCAGAGUUUCCAUUAAUGUUUAUAAAUUAAAGUUGCAGGCUGAAAUUAUGUCUCAGAUAAAUAAAAGGCGCAUUCCUUUA